UCCAGCCCUCCCUUGUUCAUUACGUGUAAAAUUGAAUGACGCAUAUUCUCGCUGAGUGUGUGUGUUUCGUGCGCAUGUGCGGUGUAAAGGAACCGCCCCCCUAUUUAAGUCACAGAACGAGUUUUUGGAAUCAUUCAGCUGCUGCAGUUUGAAGAGCGAGGAAGCAAUGAGAGGGAGAGAUUUCUGGCUGUAGCGUUUUGUCCGGGAGAUUUUUUUUUUUUGAAAACGGUGCAAUGUGAUCACUGCAACAGACGGGCACACACUGAAUGCACUCCGUACUCUGCUGAAGAGUUCUCAACAGACGGGCACACACUGAAUGCACUCCGUACUCUGCUGAAGAGUUAUCAACAGAUGGGCACACACUGAAUGCACUCCGUACUCUGCUGAAGAGUUAUCAACAGACGGGCACACACUGAAUGCACUCCGUACUCUGCUGAAGAGUUAUCAACAGACGGGCACACACUGAAUGCACACUGUACUCUGCUGAAGAGUUAUCAACAAACGGGCACACACUGAAUGCACUCCGUACUCUGCUGAAGAGUUAUCAACAGACGGGCACACACUGAAUGCACUCCGUACUCUGCUGAAGAGUUAUCAACAGACGGGCACAUACUGAAUGCACUCCGUACUCUGCUGAAGAGUUAUCAACAGACGGGCACACACUGAAUGCACACUGUACUCUGCUGAAGAGUUAUCAACAGACGGGCACACACUGAAUGCACUCCGUACUCUGCUGAAGAGUUAUCAACAGAUGGGCACACACUGAAUGCACACUGUACUCUGCUGAAGAGUUAUCAACAGACGGGCACACACUGAAUGCACUCCGUACUCUGCUGAAGAGUUAUCAACAGACGGGCACACACUGAAUGCACUCCGUACUCUGCUGAAGAGCUAUCGCAUGAUUUUUCAUUUAUGUGCAAAAAAUGUAAAGUCAAUGGGUAGAAGAAUGUCUUUGCUCUGUUCUUUUUUAGUUGUUUAGUUCGGCUUCCACAGCAUACCUGGAGAAGCCGAUUGUUAUUGCUGGGAUUUCUGUUGUUCUUUUUCUGCCACAAAAACAGUAAUUAGCUAAAUAAAUAAUAACUUCCUCAA